CAACAGGGAUUGCCUCAGUAACGGCGAGUGAAGCGGCAACAGCUCAAAUUUGAAAUCUGGCCCCAGGCCCGAGUUGUAAUUUGCAGAGGAUGCUUUUGGCGCGGUGCCUUCCAAGUUCCCUGGAACGGGACGCCACAGAGGGUGAGAGCCCCGUCAGGUCGUGCAACCAAGCCUUUGUAAAGCUCCUUCGACGAGUCGAGUAGUUUGGGAAUGCUGCUCUAAAUGGGAGGUAUAUGUCUUCUAAAGCUAAAUAUUGGCCAGAGACCGAUAGCGCACAAGUAGAGUGAUCGAAAGAUGAAAAGCACUUUGAAAAGAGAGUUAAACAGCACGUGAAAUUGUUGAAAGGGAAGCGUUCAUGACCAGACUUGGGCCCGGUUGAUCAUCCAGCGUUCUCGCUGGUGCACUCGGCCGGCCCAGGCCAGCAUCAGUUCGCUCCGGGGGACAAAGGUUCCGGGAACGUGGCUCCCUCGGGAGUGUUAUAGCCCGGUUCAAAUGCCCUGGGGUGGACUGAGGUCCGCGCAUUGCAAGGAUGCUGGCGUAAUGGUCAUCAACGACCCGUCUUGAAACACGGACCAAGGAGUCGUCUUCGUAUGCGAGUGUUUGGGUGUAAAACCCCGGCGCGUAAUGAAAGUGAACGCAGGUGAGAGCUUCGGCGCAUCAUCGACCGAUCCUGAUGUUCUCGGAUGGAUUUGAGUAAGAGCAUACGGGGCCGGACCCGAAAGAAGGUGAACUAUGCCUGUAUAGGGUGAAGCCAGAGGAAACUCUGGUGGAGGCUCGCAGCGGUUCUGACGUGCAAAUCGAUCGUCAAAUAUGGGCAUGGGGGCGAAAGACUAA
rnacentral:rRNA from 1 species